rnacentral:rRNA from 1 species
UUACCAGACUCCUACGGGAGGCAGCAGUGGGGAAUAUUGCGCAAUGGGGGAAACCCUGACGCAGCAACGCCGCGUGAGUGAGGAAGUAUCUCGGUAUGUAAAGCUCUAUCAGCGGGGAAGAAGGAAGACGGUACCCGACUAAGAAGCCCCGGCUAACUACGUGCCAGCAGCCGCGGUAAUACGUAGGGGGCAAGCGUUAUCGGAUUUACUGGGUGUAAAGGGAGCGUGGACGGCAGCGCAAGUCUGAAGUGAAAUGCCGGGGCUUAACCCCGGAACUGCUUUGGAAACUGAGCAGCUAGAGUGCAGGAGAGGUAAGUGGAAUUCCUAGGGUAGCGGUGAAAUGCGUAGAUAUUAGGAGGAACACCAGUGGCGAAGGCGGCUUACUGGACUGUAACUGACGUUGAGGCUCGAAAGCGUGGGGAGCAAACAGGAUUAGAUACCCGUGUA